UGAACCAUCGAGUCUUUGAACGCAAGUUGCGCCCGAGGCCAUUAGGUCGAGGGCACGUCUGCCUGGGCGUCACAC
rnacentral:rRNA from 1 species